GACGAACGCUGGCGGCGUGCUUAACACAUGCAAGUCGAACGGAAAGGCCCUGCUUUUGUGGGGUGCUCGAGUGGCGAACGGGUGAGUAACACGUGAGUAACCUGCCCUUGACUUUGGGUUACUUUAGGGAAACGGGGCCAAAACCGGAAAAGGGCUCCUGCUGCCUGGUGGGGGGUGGGAAGUUUCGGCGGUUGGGGAUGGACUCGCGGCUUAUCAGCUUGUUGGUGGGGUAGUGGCUUACCAAGGCUUUGACGGGUAGCCGGCCUGAGAGGGUGACCGGCCACAUUGGGACUGAGAUACGGCCCAGACUCCUACGGGAGGCAGCAGUGGGGAAUAUUGCACAAUGGGCGGAAGCCUGAUGCAGCAACGCCGCGUGCGGGAUGACGGCCUUCGGGUUGUAAACCGCUUUCGCCUGUGACGAAGCGUGAGUGACGGUAAUGGGUAAAGAAGCACCGGCUAACUACGUG
rnacentral:rRNA from 1 species